CUACUUCCGGCUAUUGCCCCUUUAGCUCAGCGACGAGUGAAGCGGCAAGAGCUCAGAUUUGAAAUCGUGUUUCGGCACGAGUUGUAGAGUGUAGGCGGGAGUCUCUGUGGAGCGCGGUGUCCAAGUCCCUUGGAACAGGGUGCCUGAGAGGGUGAGAGCCCCGUAGGGUGCUGCGCGAAGCUUUUGAGGCCCUGCUGACGAGUCGAGUUGUUUGGGAAUGCAGCUCCAAGCGGGUGGUAAAUUCCAUCUAAGGCUAAAUAUUGGCGAGAGACCGAUAGCGAACAAGUACUGUGAAGGAAAGAUGAAAAGCACUUUGAAAAGAGAGUGAAACAGCACGUGAAAUUGUUGAAAGGGAAGGGUAUUGGGCUCGACAUGGGGGGUGCGCACCGCUGUCUCUUGUAGGCGGCGCUCUGGGCGCCCUCUGGGCCAGCAUCGGUUCCUGCUGCGGGAGAAGGGGCUCCGGAAAGUGGCUCUUCGGAGUGUUAUAGCCGGGGCCAGAUGCCGCGUGUGGGGACCGAGGACUGCGGCUUCUGUCUCGGAUGCUGGCAUAACGGCGCAAUACCGCCCGUCUUGAAAACACGGACC
rnacentral:rRNA from 1 species